UCUUCCUUGGUCUAGUGGUCAUGAUUUCCGCUUGUCACUAAUACCGGCAAGCCGCGGGAGACCGGGGUUCGAUUCCCCGAGGGAGAG
rnacentral:tRNA from 1 species